rnacentral:rRNA from 1 species
GAUGAACGCUAGCUACAGGCUUAACACAUGCAAGUCGAGGGGAAACGACAUUGAAGCUUGCUUCGAUGGUCGUCGGCCGGCGCACGGGUGAGUAACGCGUAUCCAACCUGCCUCUGACCAAGGGAUAACCCGUCGAAAGUCGGCCUAAUACCUUAUGCAGUCGUCGGAAGUCAUCUGAUGACGACGAAAGAUUUCAUCGGUGAGAGAUGGGGAUGCGUCUGAUUAGCUUGUUGGCGGGGUAACGGCCCACCAAGGCAACGAUCAGUAGGGGUUCUGAGAGGAAGGUCCCCCACAUUGGAACUGAGACACGGUCCAAACUCCUACGGGAGGCAGCAGUGAGGAAUAUUGGUCAAUGGGCGAGAGCCUGAACCAGCCAAGUAGCGUGCAGGAUGACGGCCCUAUGGGUUGUAAACUGCUUUUAUGCGGGGAUAAAGUGAGGGACGUGUCCUUCAUUGCAGGUACCGCAUGAAUAAGGACCGGCUAAUUCCGUG